rnacentral:rRNA from 1 species
GACGAACCGUCCAAACGUUGUUCGGAAUCACUGGGCUUAAAGGGCGCGUAGGCGGCCUUGUAAGUCGGGGGUGAAAUCCCACGGCCUAACCGUGGAAGUGCCUCCGAUACUGCAAGGCUCGAGGGAGGUAGGGGCAGCUGGAACUUCCGGUGGAGCGGUGAAAUGCGUUGAUAUCGGAAGGAACGCCGGUGGCGAAAGCGAGCUGCUGGACCUCUGCUGACGCUGAGGCGCGAAAGCCAGGGGAGCAAACGGG